rnacentral:rRNA from 1 species
UGAACGCUAGCUACAGGCUUAACACAUGCAAGUCGAGGGGCAUCAGGAAGAAAGCUUGCUUUCUUUGCUGGCGACCGGCGCACGGGUGAGUAACACGUAUCCAACCUGCCCUUUACUCGGGGAUAGCCUUUCGAAAGAAAGAUUAAUACCCGAUAGCAUAAUGAUUCCGCAUGGUUUCAUUAUUAAAGGAUUCCGGUAAAGGAUGGGGAUGCGUUCCAUUAGGUUGUUGGUGAGGUAACGGCCCACCAAGCCUUCGAUGGAUAGGGGUUCUGAGAGGAAGGUCCCCCACAUUGGAACUGAGACACGGUCCAAACUCCUACGGGAGGCAGCAGUGAGGAAUAUUGGUCAAUGGGCGCUAGCCUGAACCAGCCAAGUAGCGUGAAGGAUGAAGGCUCUAUGGGUCGUAAACUUCUUUUAUAUAAGAAUAAAGUGCAGUAUGUAUACUGUUUUGUAUGUAUUAUAUGAAUAAGGAUCGGCUAACUCCGUGCCAGCAGCCGCGGUAAUACGGAGGAUCCGAGCGUUAUCCGGAUUUAUUGGGUUUAAAGGGAGCGUAGGUGGACUGGUAAGUCAGUUGUGAAAGUUUGCGGCUCAACCGUAAAAUUGCAGUUGAUACUGUCAGUCUUGAGUACAGUAGAGGUGGGCGGAAUUCGUGGUGUAGCGGUGAAAUGCUUAGAUAUCACGAAGAACUCCGAUUGCGAAGGCAGCUCACUGGACUGCAACUGACACUGAUGCUCGAAAGUGUGGGUAUCAGACAGGAUUAGAUACCCUGGUAGUCCACACAGUAAACGAUGAAUACUCGCUGUUUGCGAUAUACAGUAAGCGGCCAAGCGAAAGCAUUAAGUAUUCCACCUGGGGAGUACGCCGGCAACGGUGAAACUCAAAGGAAUUGACGGGGGCCCGCACAAGCGGAGGAACAUGUGGUUUAAUUCGAUGAUACGCGAGGAACCUUACCCGGGCUUAAAUUGCAGUGGAAUGAUGUGGAAACAUGUCAGUGAGCAAUCACCGCUGUGAAGGUGCUGCAUGGUUGUCGUCAGCUCGUGCCGUGAGGUGUCGGCUUAAGUGCCAUAACGAGCGCAACCCUUAUCUUUAGUUACUAACAGGUUAUGCUGAGGACUCUAGAGAGACUGCCGUCGUAAGAUGUGAGGAAGGUGGGGAUGACGUCAAAUCAGCACGGCCCUUACGUCCGGGGCUACACACGUGUUACAAUGGGGGGUACAGAAGGCAGCUAGCGGGUGACCGUAUGCUAAUCCCAAAAUCCUCUCUCAGUUCGGAUCGAAGUCUGCAACCCGACUUCGUGAAGCUGGAUUCGCUAGUAAUCGCGCAUCAGCCACGGCGCGGUGAAUACGUUCCCGGGCCUUGUACACACCGCCCGUCAAGCCAUGGGAGCCGGGGGUACCUGAAGUACGUAACCGCAAGGAUCGUCCUAGGGUAAAACUGGUGACAGG